rnacentral:lncRNA from 1 species
AUGAGCACGUACCUGUCAACGGAGCUCCUGCAGGGUAAGGACUGGCUUUGCUCUCAUCGCUCACCUACGUUCGUCGGAAGCGGCGCGAUCGGGAGCCUCCUUCCAGCGACAGAGCAUCUUCUCCGUCACCUCGUAACGAUGCCCACUCCGACAACUAAACUUACCCGUGUGAGAGACGCCUCUGCCGACGACGCCCUCCUAAGGGAGCUUCGCUCCCGUCGCAAUCUGACGGUGCGCGACACGGGCAAAACAUCGUUGUCAAAGGCCAAAGGUGGCGAAGCCCGAGAGCAAAAAGAGCCGCGACCCUCGGCAUCUCCCCAGCACGGCUACCGCCCCACCCUGAAAACUCACGGCUUGCGGGGCAGGCCGUGUUCCCCACUGCCCAGGGGAUGCCCCAUCUUUCUGCCCCAUCAACCAGGACAAAACGUUCAACAAGCUCCCCUCCUAACAUGGGACUUGCACCUUGCUGGCUCAGACACAACCCAGAUGAUGGGCAUCGCCUGUGGGUGCCCGGUCUCCUUGUCGCCACGUGCCGCCGACGGAGCUGCUGAGCAGAUGACGGUCCCCGUUUCCCUAGGGAAAUCCCAACACCGGCGUUCCUCGGCCAUACAUUCCCAGAAUGGUAAGGCCGCCGGGGGCACCCAGGGCGACCGUGGGGGAGUGGGGGCUGCCAGACUAGCCCAGACCCAACAGAGUCUCCCUUCUGAUGUGCGAAUGAAAAGCCCGGUCCUGAGAGGUUUAUCCCCGAAACCCAUGACAAACCGCCCUGCCACCGGCGGCGGGCACUCGUGCGCAGCACACGGCAAAGUUGACGGCUCCGGUCCCAGCACCGCUACAAGCUGCUGCAACUUCAUGCGCCGCAGAGGCCUCUGCUGUCCCCCUCGAGGACCCUGGCUGAAAGGCACUGGUAAGUGACGCUCACUUCAUCCACGGGUGCAUCCCGCCACCGUCCAGUCCUCGCUAACGCUUCCCAUGCCAGUUCCGCUCGGCAUCUGGCGAUGGACCCACCUCCGCUCGAGAGAAACACCUACAUACGCCUCGUCCACAUCGUCCCUUUUCAUACCAUCACCGAGCGCCAGGGAGGGGACAAGGCCCGUUCCAGCCGCGAGCCCGGCCACGGGGUGCCUGCUGGCUCCCUUACCGGUCCGGGGAGGAUUUGCUCCGCAGCCCUGCUGACGCCUGACCCACGCCCAAGGAUGACAACUUUGGCCACUACAUCCAGAGGGCUGGAGGGCAUGUUUCAGGCCAUGAUCUCUGUCCCUCCCUGCCACUGAGAGACACCCGUAUGUACUUCAAUAAAUUACUACAUAAAUGCAUCCAUUGAGCAGCGUCGCUCUCAGCCGUCAAACCCUGCCAUCGGAUGCUCCAUGACCUCUCACCUAGAGCACCAAAAAAUUUCCAACAGAGAGAGGGCGAGGGCAACGGCCCCCCCCCUUAGCUUCCAUAUGCCGUCCCACCCUUGACCCAUGCCCAGCAGUCCCGUCCCUCACAUAGGAUGUUCUACGAAGCCUUGGAGCUCGGCUCUUCCCUCGCCCUGUGCCGGCGUCGCUCGGCCGCUGCGUCUCGCACCGCCAGGCGACUCCUUACCGUCCGUUUUGCGCUCUCCCCAUUCUCCGUGCUUGUUGCUCCGUUGAUGCAAAUUCAUCGUAGGGUCAAGAAAUAAAAAAAACCCUGCAAAACAGUCCCGCCAUCGCUAACCAUCGUAGCGAUGUAGCUAACCAUUUGUAGCUUCCGAUCCUACAAAAACGUGCCGGCGGCUCAAAGAAGCCGGCGCCCCAGAGGCCACGGUCAAGGCCGAGGAAUAUAUCCGCUAAGUAAGCUGCUGCACACCAGCAAAGAAAUCAAGAUGCCGGCCGAGACGAGACCGACGUGGCCCACCUACGCCCAAACUCCGGCUUUGCACAGGGGUGCCCGGCUUCCUAUGCCUGCCUCGCAUCGCUGCGUCUCUCCUUCCCGCGGGACUCGCCGUGAGCAUCCCCCGCGACGUUGCGUUACCGGGGCGGAGGGCUACACGGAAAGCCUUUGGGGCCCCGGGGCAGGAUCCUGCGUGGGGGGAAUAGGGUGGAGUGGCACCCCAACACCCUCCCCAUCUACUCACCAAAGCCUUACCUGCAUCCCCGUCGGGCUUGCCGGCGAGGUCCGGGCGCCAUCCCUCCGACAUCGUCCCGGCCCGUUAACAACAAUUCGGUGUUCCCACCCGGAGUCCCUCCCCCGGUGUCCCUCCCGGUCCCCGGCGGCGCGGGGGGAGAGUGCGGGGUGGCCCCGGCGGCAAUGAGCACCACAACCAGACGGAGCGGCCACAUGGAACAAUCGUUUUAAUGGAUAGGCAGAGAGAGCCCCCUCGCCGCCCGCCCGCCCGCACCCGGGCCCCCCAGCGUGCCCCCCGCCGUUGGCCGCGGGGAAGGAAAGGAAACCAAGGGAGGAAAACCGACCGCAGGGGAGACGCCCGCCGAAACGUAUGGCGAGUCGACCGGUCCCGCAUUUCGGCUGACAGCUUGGCCACGGGAGGAGCGGCCAGGUGCCGAUCGCUUCGCCUUCUUUUCCUUAUUUCUUUUUGUUUUGGUUUGGUUUUUUUAUAUAUAUAUAUACACACACACGCGCACACACACACACGUAUACAUACAUAUAUAUAUAUAUAUAUAAAAAAAUAUAAAACGGAGCUAUAUAGAUCUCCCUCUGUCCCUCGGUUCGUUUUAUUCCACCGCGAAGGGGCCGGGGCCGCACGGCGAAAGGCGACGGUGAGGGGCCCCGGUCCCCCGCGGGCCUUCGUCCCCACCGCGCCGGUGACCCGAAGGCGGAAAGGCGAGGGGGUUUGGGGACGCGUGGACCAAGACGCUCGCCUCGUCUUGUCGAGGACCGAUACACACCUAACUCCAUAUACAGCAUGCAGUAAUGGCAGCGGAAGGACCCUGCUGGGAACCGUGGCUAGAACGCUAACAACAAAAAAAAAAUUAUAUAUAUAUAUAUGUAUAUUUAUAUAUACUGUAUAUAUAUAUCCCAUAAAAAGAUUCAGCGUCUCCCUCCGCCUCGACGCGCGGCCAGCGUCGCCCGCGCCCUCAGCAGGAACUGUUCGGACGACCGCUUUUUAGGCCGGUUUUGGGGGGGGGUUCGGCGCGGGAUUCCUCCUCCUCCAUGCCGACUCGCCGGGUUCACAAACCUCCUCGGCCAGUCGCCUCCUGGGCUGAGCGGCGCUCGGCGAACCGACUUCUUCUCUCUGCUGGCUCCCCCUCUCUUUUCUGGGUUUGUUUUUUUUUCUCUCCCCCCCCCCCCCCCCCCCUUCUUUUUUGCAUUUCUGUUGUUUAGGAACUAAGAGUUCUAGGUUCAUACCAGAAAAUACAAUUAAUAAAAUUAACCAUGACUCAGAACCCCUUAUCAUUCACGAUGCCCACGGGUGGUACGAUGAAUGCGUGGCUCGACGCCGGUCUCCUUCCGCCCUUUCCGUUCGUGGCGGUGUGAUAACUGUUGAAGAUCUAUAUAUCUAUACAUAUAUAUAUAUAUAUGUAUACAUGGAUAUAUAUAUAUAUAUUCAGAAACACAAAUGGCGGCACGGUCCACGAGAAGACGGGGAAAUCUCGGCAAAGAAAAAAACCGUCGCGUCCGGACGGAGGGGUCCCUGCGGGAGGGAGGGAGCAGGCGGGCAGGGGCGGCGAAGGGGACGGGUUGGG